CCUACGGGUGGCAGCAGUGAGGAAUAUUGGUCAAUGGGCGUAAGCCUGAACCAGCCAAGUCGCGUGAGGGAUGAAGGUUCUAUGGAUCGUAAACCUCUUUUAUAAGGGAAUAAAGUGUGGGACGUGUCCUGUUUUGUAUGUACCUUAUGAAUAAGGAUCGGCUAACUCCGGUCCAGCAGCCGCGGUAAUACGGAGGAUCCGAGCGUUAUCCGGAUUUAAUGGGUUUAAAGGGUGCGUAGGCGGCCUUUUAAGUCAGCGGUGAAAGUCUGUGGCUCAACCAUAGAAUUGCCGUUGAAACUGGGAGGCUUGAGUAGGUUUGAGGCAGGCGGAAUGCGAGGUGUAGCGGUGAAAUGCUUAGAUAUCACGCAGAACCCCGAUGGCGAAGGCAGCCUGCCAAGCCAUGACUGACGCUGAUGCACGAAAGCGUGGGGAUCAAACAGGAUUAGAUACCCUUGUAGUC
rnacentral:rRNA from 1 species